UUCAGAGGUGUUGUAUCUAUAUAUUCUAUAUCUAUCUAUCUAUCUAUAUCUAUAUCUUCUAUACUACCUUAAAAACAAACUUGAAUGUUGAAUUACUAUAUACCACCAAUUAAAAAUACUCAAUAUAUUUUAUUUAUUAGUUUAGUUAUUUGUUUACAUUAAAAAUAGAUGCUUUUUCACAUUAAAGGGUUGUCAUUUUUUCAAAGAGUUGUGAUUUUUUCAAAAGGUUGCGACUUUUUUGAUUAGUUGUUACAUUUUCGAUGAGUUGUGACUUUCCAAAGGGUUAUGAUUUUUUCAAAGGGUUAUGAAUUUUCCAAAGGGGUUGUGACUUUCUCAAUGAUUUGUGACUUUUCCAAAGAGUUGUAACAUUUUCGAUGAGCAGGGACUUUUUCGAAAGGUUGUAACUUUUCUAAUAAGGCACAAUUAGCAACUAUUCAUAAUACUAUUUGUUAGUUAUAAAUAGACGAGUUCCUUCUCACUUUUAGACUACAAUUUUUUAAAGUUUUGUACUCUUUUUUUCUUAAAAAAUCUCAAGAGUUAUUUGAAACAGUUCAUUAAGUUCAAAAUUCAACGAAAUUCGAGGUAUCACAUAAAAAGAGUUGGUGAACAAAUUGUAGCAAAUCAUUCAACAAUUCGCACUCGUGGUUUAUCUUAGGAUUUUCAUGAGUUAACAAUGACAAAAAGUCGUGGAAAAGACAAUAACAAUAAGAAGAAAAUAUGAAAAAAGUCACAUGAUACGGGUUUGCGUGGUUGGAUUAAAGUUCAGAUAGCUCAAUAGGUGUGGAGAGUGAUUUUGACUUGAUUGGGUGGUUGGUAUGAAUUUUAAAACAUUUAAGUGUGCUUUAAAUCAUUGGUUGUAUUCUUGAAUAUUAAGAAAGUUAAAUUUGACCAUUGUCAAGAGAACUUUGGAUCGGUAGACUGAUGAUUCUAAUAGAUUUGGAACAUAUUGUAUGGUCAAUCUACAGAAUGUCGAGGGUCCAUUCAGAGUUUUGAUUGAAGCCUUCACGAAAGAUAUGCAUGAUUUAUGAAAACGAUUGUGUUAUGAUAUGUUGCUUUGAGAUUAGCAUCAACUAAAUUAUGAAAGAUUUUCUCACAUAAUAACAUCUUCUUUCUCAAAAAGAAAAAGUUAGAAACACAAUCUUCACACCCCUAAACAAUAGCAAUAGCACGGAUCCUAAGCUAUGUCGCGUGAAAAAAUGAUUCCAUGAUUCAAGAUUUAAGGAGCUAUUCUAUGAUUUUA